GCGAGUUAGAAUCUUGGGCUCU
rnacentral:miRNA from 8 species